CCUACGGGAUGCAGCAGUGGGGAAUAUUGCACAAUGGGCGCAAGCCUGAUGCAGCCAUGCCGCGUGUGUGAAGAAGGCCUUCGGGUUGUAAAGCACUUUCAGCGGGGAGGAAGGCAAUACGGUUAAUAACCGUGUUGAUUGACGUUACCCGCAGAAGAAGCACCGGCUAACUCCGUGCCAGCAGCCGCGGUAAUACGGAGGGUGCAAGCGUUAAUCGGAAUUACUGGGCGUAAAACGCACGCAGGCGGUCUGUCAAGUCAGAUGUGAAAUCCCCGGGCUCAACCUGGGAACUGCAUCUGAUACUGGCAAGCUUGAGUCUCGUAGAGGGGGGUAGAAUUCCAGGUGUAGCGGUGAAAUGCGUAGAGAUCUGGAGGAAUACCGGUGGCGAAGGCGGCCCCCUGGACGAAGACUGACGCUCAGGUGCGAAAGCGUGGGGAGCAAACAGGAUUAGAUACCCUCGUAGUC
rnacentral:rRNA from 1 species